rnacentral:rRNA from 1 species
GAUGAACGCUGGCGGCGUGCCUAAUACAUGCAAGUCGAGCGAACAGAUGAGGAGCUUGCUCCUCUGACGUUAGCGGCGGACGGGUGAGUAACACGUGGAUAACCUACCUAUAAGACUGGGAUAACUUCGGGAAACCGGAGCUAAUACCGGAUAAUAUAUUGAACCGCAUGGUUCAAUAGUGAAAGACGGUUUUGCUGUCACUUAUAGAUGGAUCCGCGCCGCAUUAGCUAGUUGGUAAGGUAACGGCUUACCAAGGCAACGAUGCUUAGCCGACCUGAGAGGGUGAUCGGCCACACUGGAACUGAGCCACGGUCCAGACUCCUACGGGAGGCAGCAGUAGGGAAUCUUCCGCAAUGGGCGAAAGCUUGACGGAGCAACGCCGCGUGAGUGAUGAAGGUCUUCGGAUCGUAAAACUCUGUUAUUAGGGAAGAACAAAUGUGUAAGUAACUAUGCACGUCUUGACGGUACCUAAUCAGAAAGCCACGGCUAACUACGUG